rnacentral:rRNA from 1 species
GACAGAGGCCCCAAGCGUUAGGCGGAAUCACUGGGCUUAAAGCGUGUGUAGGCGGACGCCUAAGUGUCUUGUGAAAUCCCACGGCUCACCCGUGGAACUGCUGGGCAUACUGGGCGUCUUGGGCCAACUAGGGGCAGCCGGAACAAGCGGUGGAGCGGUGAAAUGCGCAGAUAUCAGGAGGAACACCGGUGGCGAAGGCGGGUCUCUGGGCCGAAACUGACGCUGAGGAGCGAAAGCGUGGGGAGCAAACAGG